GGGUCAGGCGGUUGGUCGUGCCACCGGUACGUACUGGUCUCACUGAUUCCUCCUUCCUGAAGAACCGUAAUGCCAUUAAUUUGGUGUUGCGGGGAAACAGGACUGUUACUUUGAAAAAAUUAGAGUGUUUAAAGCAAGCUAACGCUUGAAUACAUUAGCAUGGAAUAAUGAAAUAGGACGAUCGAUCCUAUUUUGUUGGUUUCUAGGAUUGACGUA
rnacentral:rRNA from 1 species